rnacentral:lncRNA from 1 species
UCCUCUAUUCCUUUCUUCUUCUCCUCUUCUUUUUCUUCUUUUUUCCUCUUCUUAUUUAUUUCUCCUCUUCUUCUCCUUUCUUCCUCUUCUUAUUUUCCUUUUUCCUCUCCUUCUUUUUCUUCUUCUUCCUUUCCUAGCUAGAUAUAUAAAACUUUUCUAAAAAUGUAACUUUUGCAUAUAUAAAACUUGUUCUUCUCCUUCCUUCUUCCUUCUCUUCCUUCUUCCUAAAUAUAUAAAACUUUUCUAAAAAUGAAACUAACCUAAAAUGUACUAAAUCAGAGAACAUAUAUAGAUAAAACUUUUCUAAAAAUCUAACUUUUGCAUAUAUGAACAUAUAUACACAGAGAACAUACAUACAUAUAUACAUUUUUAUAAAAAUGCAAAAAACAAAUCAUCAUAUAUAUGAACAAAAAUCUGAAAAAAACAGGACAUAUAAUCAUAUAUACACACAUACAUAUAAUCACACAUAUGCAUAUAAUCUGAAAAACAUCAUAUAUAUGAAAAAAACAGAGAGGAAGGCCGGCGGCCGGACCGAACGUGGCGGCGGCGUGUGGUCGGG